UGGGCGGAUGCUGUGCUG
rnacentral:snRNA from 1 species